AGAAUUUUGGUCGAUGAGCUGAUAGCCGUUGGUUGUAGAGUUGUCAGGGGCCCGGAUUGGAAAUAUGGCGAUCAUGACGGAGGUCUAGGAACAGAAGGAACGGUAUUGGGUGAAAGACAAAGAGGAAAAGUAGUGGUAAGAUGGGACAGAAAAAAUGUAGGCAGUUAUAAAAUUGGAUAUGAUGGCCACUUUGAAGUGAAGUUGAG